rnacentral:rRNA from 1 species
GAUGAACGCUGGCGGCGUGCCUAAUACAUGCAAGUCGAGCGAAUGGAUUAAGAGCUUGCUCUUAUGAAGUUAGCGGCGGACGGGUGAGUAACACGUGGGUAACCUGCCCAUAAGACUGGGAUAACUCCGGGAAACCGGGGCUAAUACCGGAUAACAUUUUGGACCGCAUGGUUCGAAAUUGAAAGGCGGCUUCGGCUGUCACUUAUGGACGGACCCGCGUCGCAUUAGCUAGUUGGUGAGGUAACGGCUCACCAAGGCAACGAUGCGUAGCCGACCUGGGAGGGUGAUCGGCCACACUGGGACUGAGACACGGCCCAGACUCCUACGGGAGGCAGCAGUAGGGAAUCUUCCGCAAUGGACGAAAGUCUGACGGAGCAACGCCGCGUGAGUGAUGAAGGCUUUCGGGUCGUAAAACUCUAUUGUUAGGGAAGAACAAGUGCUAGUUGAAUAAGCUGGCACCUUGACGGUACCUAACCAGAAAGCCACGGCUAACUACGUGCCAGCCGCCGCAGUAA